rnacentral:misc_RNA from 1 species
GUGUGGCCAAAAUUGCCCCUUGUCUACCUCCUUAAUUUUUUGGUGGCGAAAGCUUCCUUGGUGGUGGUGGUAGUUGGGGUGGUGAUCGUGGUGGAAAUAAAUAUUUUUGGUGUCUUGAUACAAAUCCCAAGAAUUGGCACAAUUCCCAAGGAACCACCUUCUAAGUGUCUAGACCCUUCCAUGGUGUUAUACUUAAAAUAGGGCUGUUUGGGAAGUUUCUGAUCUAUUUUCCAAGUGCUGAAACCUCUUGAGCGAGUUUGAAAGUCUCCAAAAAAUGCUACUAAAAAUUGCCCGCAUGUGGCCCAGUAGGCGUUGCAGCUGCAUAGAAGCUUUUGGAGUCUGCAACAGAUGAACCUCGUUUUGCCUGGCACUCCGCAGGCAAUUCCACGGGCUGAACCUCGUUUCAGCCUACCACU